UGGGGAAUUUUGGACAAUGGGCGCAAGCCUGAUCCAGCCAUGCCGCGUGCGGGAAGAAGGCCUUCGGGUUGUAAACCGCUUUUGGCAGGAACGAAACGGCGAUUCCUAAUACGGAUCGCUAAUGACGGUACCUGCAGAAUAAGCACCGGCUAACUACGUG
rnacentral:rRNA from 1 species